rnacentral:rRNA from 1 species
AGUGAACGCUGGCGGUAGGCCUAACACAUGCAAGUCGAACGGCAGCACAGUAAGAGCUUGCUCUUACGGGUGGCGAGUGGCGGACGGGUGAGGAAUACAUCGGAAUCUACUUUUUCUUGGGGGAUAACGUAGGGAAACUUACGCUAAUACCGCAUACGACCUACGGGUGAAAGCAGGGGAUCUUCGGACCUUGCGCGAUUGAAUGAGCCGAUGUCGGAUUAGCUAGUUGGCGGGGUAAAGGCCCACCAAGGCGACGAUCCGUAGCUGGUCUGAGAGGAUGAUCAGCCACACUGGAACUGAGACACGGUCCAGACUCCUACGGGAGGCAGCAGUGGGGAAUAUUGGACAAAGGGCGCAAGCCUGAUCCAGCCAUACCGCGUGGGUGAAGAAGGCCUUCGGGUUGUAAAGCCCUUUUGUUGGGAAAGAAAAGCAGCAGGUUAAUACCCCGCUGUUCUGACGGUACCCAAAGAAUAAGCACCGGCUAACUUCGUG